GGCCCUGCUUUUGUGGGGUGCUCGAGUGGCGAACGGGUGAGUAACACGUGAGUAACCUGCCCUUGACUUUGGGAUAACUUCAGGAAACUGGGGCUAAUACCGGAUAGGAGCUCCUGCUGCAUGGUGGGGGUUGGAAAGUUUCGGCGGUUGGGGAUGGACUCGCGGCUUAUCAGCUUGUUGGUGGGGUAGUGGCUUACCAAGGCUUUGACGGGUAGCCGGCCUGAGAGGGUGACCGGCCACAUUGGGACUGAGAUACGGCCCAGACUCCUACGGGAGGCAGCAGUGGGGAAUAUUGCACAAUGGGCGGAAGCCUGAUGCAGCAACGCCGCGUGCGGGAUGACGGCCUUCGGGUUGUAAACCGCUUUCGCCUGUGACGAAGCGUGAGUGACGGUAAUGGGUAAAGAAGCACCGGCUAACUACGUGCCAGCAGCCGCGGUGAUACGUAGGGUGCGAGCGUUGUCCGGAUUUAUUGGGGCGUAAAGGGCUCGUAGG
rnacentral:rRNA from 1 species